rnacentral:rRNA from 1 species
UACGUAGGUGGCGAGCGUUGUCCGGAUUUACUGGGCGUAAAGAGCGCGCAGGCGGUCGUGCAAGUCUCGUGUGAAAGCCCCCGGCUCAACUGGGGAGGGUCACGCGAUACUGCUCGACUUGAAGGCAGGAGAGGGAAGUGGAAUUCCCGGUGUAGUGGUGAAAUGCGUAGAUAUCGGGAGGAACACCAGUGGCGAAGGCGACUUCCUGGCCUGUUCUUGACGCUGAGGCGCGAAAGCUAGGGUAGCAAACGGG